CCCCGGGUCASUGCAGCCUUUCGGCCUAGAGCAGCGGAGGGCACUGAUGCUUCGUCAGAGCUUUUCUUGACUCAGCCGUGCUGUUGCAACUGCCGCCCAGCGAGCAGCACUUCCCUGCAGCAGACAGAYGAUCCAGAGGCUGGAGAUCCAGUAAAGACGUAGCCCAGCCCGUCUCAGCACAGCUCCGCACAGCCCCAGCUCAGACACUUGAAGAGGCUGGGGAGGGGACGACACUAGCGCACAGCCAACACUGCAACACACACACUCCUCCUCUCCCACUCUCUCUCUCUCUCUCUCUUUCUCUCUCUCUCUCUCUCUCUGUUGGUGCUCAGCUCUGCACAGCUCCUUCACUCGUUCGCUGCUGAUUCACUCGCUCCCUCGCUUGCCUCUCCUCUGCCAGUCGCUCUGCCUUGUUGUGUUCUGCCUGCCUUCCUGCCUGCCUGAGAAUGGUCCAGCCGGUGCCUAAGGGUCUGCUGUCGUGGCCUGUCUGAACACACGCAUAAACACACAGCGCCAGUCGACACGCGGAUGCCCACGCACACUAACUGGAGAGCUAUGUGAGAGAGGAAGUGCCUUCCCUGAUGUCUGCUGCAGCUUUGACCUGCUUCUACAGCUGAAGCUCCACCCUCCCCCCCUCGCUCGCCCGCUUGCUGCCACAGUAAUACAAGUCUAAGGACAGCAGCCGCACCCUUUCCCCGCCGCCUACGCUCCGACACCAGUCGUCCCCUUUCUGCCAUCGCCAACCACUGCACCCAGCUGGGCCCCCAGCCUCAGCUUUCCUCACAGGACAGCCACUUCCGCUCACCACCAGCCGACCAGCCUUACCACUGCAGCCCAGCACACCACCAGGCCCGCGCAGCAUCUCACACACCUUUGCCUUUCACCUUCGCCUUUGACCCUUGAAGCCUCCACUCAGUCCUCAGUGUCCUUAACCUCCCUGAAGCAGACUAUACCCCCGAGUGUCGCCUUCGUCGCCUGCUUCACCGCACCUAACCAGAGUGCUCUCAUUUGUAGGCGAGAGUAAGCAAUAAACAAAUUGACAGAAAGGUCAAGCCAAAACGGACAACUUUUUAGGUAGUUUUUCUUUUCUUUUCCUGGAUUUACUCACAGGUGUUGUUUGAUCAGGAAAAUGACUCAUUAGCAUCAAACAUUGUCCUGCAACAUUUCAAAAGGAGCCCUCUCAAUCGACUGACGCCUUUUUUUUAAUUUUGAAUGUUUCAUUUGAGCACGUCACAGACAGCAACAGCAAAAAAUCAGAAAGGACUCUGAAGUCGUGGAAUAAAACACUAGACUUUAUUCGCGAUUGAACACAUCUCUGCGAGGAAUAUUUGGGCUACAGAGUUGCCAUGGCCAUGAACAUAGCACAUAUCCGUGACACAAAGUGGCUGACGCUGGAAGUGUGCCGGGAGUUUCAGAGGGGCACCUGCUCGCGCUCCGACCAGGAGUGCAAGUUUGCUCAUCCGGCCAAGAGCUGCCAGGUGGACAACGGCCGGGUGAUCGCGUGCUUCGAUUCGCUAAAGGGCCGUUGUUCCAGGGAGAACUGCAAGUACCUGCACCCCCCUCCCCAUCUAAAGACCCAGCUAGAAAUCAAUGGCAGGAACAAUCUGAUCCAGCAGAAGAACAUGGCCAUGCUGGCCCAGCAGAUGCAGCUCGCCAACGCAAUGAUGCCCGGCACGCAGCUACCCCCUAUGCCUAUAUUCCCAGUGACACCAGGCCUGGCUACUAAUGCCAGCGCAGCAGCAGCUGCUGCAGCUGCAGCCUUUAAUCCCUACCUGAGCCCUGUGUCUCCAAGCCUGAUGCCUCCAGAGAUCCUGCCCAGCACCCCGGUCCUCAUGGCCUCCAGCCCCACCGUCAGCCAGGUUCCCAAUGCUGCUGCAGCCCAGAAGCUGCUGAGAACAGACAGACUUGAGGUGUGUCGGGAGUAUCAGAGAGGAAACUGUGCUCGGGGCGAAGGCGAGUGUCGCUUCGCUCACCCUGCAGACAGCACCAUGAUCGACACCAACGACAACACCGUCACCGUGUGCAUGGACUACAUCAAGGGUCGGUGCUCCAGGGAAAAGUGCAAGUACUUUCACCCGCCGGCACAUCUGCAGGCCAAAAUUAAGGCCACCCAGCAUCAGGUGAACCAGGCCACAGCGGCCGCAGCCAUGACUCAGUCGGCUGUCAAAUCACUGAAGCGACCCCUCGACGCAACCUUUGACCUGGGCAUUACCCCUAGUGUCAUGGCGCCCCUCCCAAAGCGGGCAGCCCUGGAGAAGGCCAACGGGGCCACUGCCAUGUUUAACACCGGCAUGCUCCAGUACCAACAAGCCCUGGCCAGCAUGCAGUUUCAGCAGCAGGCUGCUUUCCUCCCAUCAGGCUCAAUUUUGUGCAUGACACCUGCAGCCAGCGUUGUUCCCAUGAUGCACGGUGGUACUCCAGCCACUGUGUCUGCAGCCACCACAUCUGCCACAAGCGUUCCCUUCGCAACUGCCUCCACCAAUCAGGACUCUUCCUUAUCAAAGUUGACUACCAACGAAUACAUGCAAUUGGUAUGUAUGAGAUUCCAAUAAUAUCUGCAGAUCAUCUGAGUAGUCACAAGUACUUGACUCAAAUGUAGUUCCUCUCAAGAACAAUCAAAUGAAUGUGUGCUGGCACCGUCCAAGCCAAAAGAGUUUAAGCCUUUAUGUACGUAACCUUCGGAAUGUCAAGAAACGGGACAAAGGAGGUUGUGCCAUCUCUCAGCCUGCCCACACCAGUGGUCUCAUCCCACGUGUAAACAUCAAGGGUACAACACGUGAUCUGUGCCAUCUUCCCACAUAUCAAUACCAAGAAGAAUUUGCCAUCAAAUUCAAACGUCCAGCCGAGAAGAAGAAAAGGAUAACAUGGCGCCGAGGGGAGGGGGACGUUCACACGAUACCUCUGUGUCUAACUGARUUAUCAGUCUACUCACCGUCAUCACUGCAUGCACAGAAGGUCAAGAGCGUUGUUACAUGAGACAAACAUCAAGUGCUGGUACGUUAGUAGACCAAGAGCUUUUUUAUUUUAUUUUAUUCAAUUUUCAUUUUUAUUUUUUGUUUCCUGCUUAAUUUUAUUAUUCUUUUUUAAUUGAUAGCCAUAUUUCAUAGUUUACAAGAGAAACACAAAUAUGCACCUUGAAUUUGAUUGAAAUCGGAAAGGCACAAUAAUAUUAACAGAUUUCUUUUUUGUUUGUCUUCUUUGCCAAAUACAAUAGGCAUGUACAGUAUUGUGUUUUACAGCAACUAGUGAAACUAGAUGUUGAAAUGAGGGUCUUGGACAUAUGAAUGUUCUGGGUAAACCAACAUACCUGUGUACCUUGAAAGCACAGCCAGGCUAGCUUCUUUCACCUUGUCUUGUGCCAUCAAGGCCAUACAGCUAAAUAUAAAAAACCAGAGUGUUAUCUCAGCAGUGUUAUUUGUUUACCGAAGGUAGAAAAGUUUUGUAUGGCUCUUUUUAUUUUUAUCGAUUUGUUUUCAGAUUAUUCAUUGUGAGUGUUUUUUUUUUAUCUUAUUUUAUUUCUAAAUUAAUUUUAAAAGUGGACUUUUCACCAAAUUACAUUGACUGUUAAGUUUUUAAUCAGAAUUGAGUUUUUCUUUUAAGGUUUCUAGUAACUCUUUUAAUAAAUGUUUGGUUUUAGUCAGGAUUAAAGUGUGAAUCGAGUCCAUCCACUAAAGCCUGAUGGGGUUGUGGGCGUGGCUUCAGUAGGCAUUGUGUUACCUUGACCCCGCCCUCCUUUUUUAAAAUAAGGAGCAGCUCGAAAAACUGUGUCUCAGUGUUGAGUCGUGUGUUGAUGGGAUAAUUUGAAACAACAGACCCAAAGGUCUAUUAGGUCAUUCAAACCACAUGUGCACUUGAAUUUGUCUCGUCACCCCUGUUUUUAUUUUUCUCAAUCCACCCUGAAUCAACCCGCAUUUCUUCGAGUCGUCAUUUUUCUGUUUUAUAUUACAAGUAAAACACGGAGGUUUUAAUCAGCUUGUAUAUCCGACUAUAAAAAACCAAAGCACAGUUUUUUCUCUUAAGUCUUAUUCAUUUUAGAUUUUAGAAACAUCUCUAAAGAGGCUUAAACAAUUAAGGAAACAAUGUUUAUUACCUUUUUUUUUCCAGUGUGUUUUAUGAUUGUUUCCCUUUUUGUGUUGUUAAAGACGUGUGUAUUUUAUCUUAACUGAUUGUUGUGACUAACGAAGCCUUAGAUUACAAUUAAUGGGUCUGAGCCCAAUCAAAUGUCUUUUCAAUCACCGUGCAGGUAAAACGAGAGAGAGAAAAAAACGAACACCAACAAUGUUUUAUAGUUCUCACCAACUGCUUUCCAUCUUUUAUUGUUUUCUCUGUAAAAGAAUUAAUUACUCUUUAAAAUUUCAUUGAAUUUCUGUGUUAUGUACUACUUAAGGAUUUGAAUCUAUUUGAGAUACGUAGUUUUAGAUUUUCUCUUUUGUUUUUUGUUUGUUUUUUGCCUUACUAUAAUAUUACUUGACAACAUUCAUAUAGUUGUUGUAGAUAUUAAGAUAGUAUGACAUUCAUAACUUUUUCAAACCAUAUAAAGGAUAAUGUGUUAAAUAUUCACUUCGUUCAUAUAGCUGGAUGUCUCAGUUAAUUAUAUCAACGAGAAACGUUUUGAUACAAGGAACGAGAUCAACUAAACAGCUGCCUCAGCAGCUUCUCUAGGCGUGCGUGUGAGAAACUUAACAACUCUCCUUGUAAAAUGUUGUCAUGUUUUUUGAAAAUACUAUAUUGCAUUGAAAUAUAGGCUGUCCAUGUUUUAAGAGUACAAAUUAUUUUCUACUGUAUCCAUUUCAAAGAGAUAUGUACUUUUUCGAUUUGUUUUUUGUUUCAAAUAUUAAGUUUGCCCUGAAUGUCAGGCCAAAACGAGCAGUGAGAGCGAUGUCGAGGUUCGGUGAGGUUCGGAGCGAGAAAGCAAAAGGCUUUUCCCACCGAGGAUGAGUCCGAAAUGCUGCAGAUCACGAGUUCUAACCUAAGGGACGAAGGUUUACUUUUUGCACUUCUGUAUAUAGUAAAAAUGAACAGAGAGAAAAAAAUAAAAAUAAAAAGUGUAUCAUAUUGAGAUAUUAUUUUGAAUAAAAAAAGAUCUAUAAUUAUAAGGAAUUUUGUUAGAUUAAUUUAAAUUCUUAAAUUAGACCAGCUAAAUUUUUUUUGCUUGCAAAGGAGGGCACUAGUUUUUUUGGCCAAUGCAUUCAGAGAAAGCUACGCGCUUUUUUGUCUUAUUUUCUAGUCGGCUCAUAAUGCCAGGGAAUGUUGCCGGGGAUCAGAUACCCCCAUGUCAUGCUAACUCUGCCUCACAUAGGAUAACCAACACAGUAAGAUCCACGUAUCAUUUACUGGAAUUGAUCUAUAUGUAGWACUGCUCAUCCAUGAAUCUUAUAAAGAAAUAGAAUUUAUUAUAGUUUGAUUUGACUGCAUGAUAAACAAAAGAUGCUGUGUAAAUAUAAAAGGGGRAAAAACCUUCAGAUUACAAAAACCACAAUACUUUUGUUUGUUUCAGGUUAUACAUGMCAUAGAUAACAUCCAGUGUGUAAUAAUACCUUAAAAUAAACAAGUUGUCUUACUCGUUUCUGUGCAAACAUGUUAUUUAAAGAGUAAUAACAUCUUAGCACCCAGUUCUGUUCAGAUGACUUCACAGUCCCCCACUAACUCACAAGCAGUUGCUUCUGCUUUCGUAUAUCUGUGCACUCAGCAGGUGGAGGCUCUUCACACCAAAAUGCGGCGAAUCAGUCUUUAAACAUGAAUGUAAAAUUUUUUUUUAAAAGUCAGUGUCAGUAUGUUUCUCACUCGAGGCUGCUUUGUAAAGUCGCUACAGAACCAAAGCACCAUUUUUUAUUUUUUUGUUUUCCUCCAAACCAAACUUUUUAAAUCUUCUGGCUGCAACCAAGGUCUGUUUCUCUCUUCCCCCGCUGGGCGCACAUGUUCGCUUUGACUGCUUUUUACUUGGAAAUGCACCCACCAGUUAUGUAUCUGCUAACAGUUGCCACAAGAUAAUGUACUCUUCUGUCUCCAGAUUUGUUUAAGCACAUUUUACUGUUGCCAUUAUUGACUCUUGCUGUAUGGAUGAAAAAAACAACAACUUCUGAAUAAAGCAAUUUGAUUUGCUCAUGCAACAA